AGCGUAGGCGGAUAUUUAAGUGGGAUGUGAAAUACCCGGGCUCAACCUGGGUGCUGCAUUCCAAACUGGAUAUCUAGAGUGCAGGAGGGGAAAGUGGAAUUCCUAGUGUAGCGGUGAAAUGCGUAGAGAUUAGGAAGAACACCAGUGGCGAAGGCGACUUUCUGGACUGUAACUGACGCUGAGGCUCGAAAGCGUGGGGAGCAAACA
rnacentral:rRNA from 1 species